AGUGAACGCUGGCGGUAGGCCUAACACAUGCAAGUCGAACGGCAGCACAGUAAGAGCUUGCUCUUACGGGUGGCGAGUGGCGGACGGGUGAGGAAUACAUCGGAAUCUACUUUUUCGUGGGGGAUAACGUAGGGAAACUUACGCUAAUACCGCAUACGACCUACGGGUGAAAGCAGGGGAUCUUCGGACCUUGCGCGAUUGAAUGAGCCGAUGUCGGAUUAGCCAGUUGGCGGGGUAAGGGCCCACCAAGGCGACGAUCCGUAGCUGGUCUGAGAGGAUGAUCAGCCACACUGGAACUGAGACACGGUCCAGACUCCUACGGGAGGCAGCAGUGGGGAAUAUUGGACAAUGGGCGCAAGCCUGAUCCAGCCAUACCGCGUGGGUGAAGAAGGCCUUCGGGUUGUAAAGCCCUUUUGUUGGGAAAGAAAAGCAGCAGGUUAAUACCCCGCUGUUCUGGCGGUACCCAAAGAAUAAGCACCGGCUAACUUCGUG
rnacentral:rRNA from 1 species